rnacentral:rRNA from 1 species
AUGGCAUAAUAUUUUUGGAGUAGCUCUCUUGACAAAAAAGCAAUGCAUUGGGUGUCCUGGAAGGAGUUGUCAACACCCAAGUGCAAGGGCGGGAUGGGGUUUCGUGACCCGCAUCUCUUUAAUCUGGCUAUGCUGGGCAAACAUGGUUGGCAUUUCAUCACUAACCGAAAUUCGCUUUGUGCUCGAGUUCUCAAUGGUCGUUACUUCCCAGACACCGAUUUCAUGCAUGCUCCAAUUCCCAAGUCGGCUUCGGCCACUUGGAGGGCAAUUAUGGCAGGAAGGAAUGCCCUGCGGACUGGUUUAAUCUCCAGAGUGGGAGAUGGCUCGACUAUAUCAGUUUGGGAGGACAAGUGGGUCACAGGCACGAUCUCCAUGACACCAACUCAGAGGCCUACAGAUACAAAUAUCGAACGGGUGUCAGAUCUCAUCGACACAGGGAGUUGGUCUUGGAAGCAUGAUGUGAUCAGGGACAAUUUCACCGCCCAGGAUGCCGCGGCCAUACUUAACAUUCCUAUCAGGCAAGGCGGUGGUGAUGAUUUACUCGCAUGGGCAUUCGAUAAAUCAGGUAACUACACUGUGAAGAUGGCGUACAGUGCUCUCGUGACUCAGAAUGAGCGUUUCGCUCUAGGGGAAGGGACGGCUACCACCGAAACUAUUGGAAAUAUGCCCUAG